UGAAGAUUCGAACCGAGAGCGGUGGAGACAAACACACUGACACACACACUGGGAACGCCCCUCACGUGAUGUCACGGGCACGUGGGCUUGAAGUAAAAGCCACAGUUAUGUUCCAGAGUGAACAGAACAGCACGAAAAAGAUCAAUAAGGUCAAGAUUAACGAGUGCCUUCAUUAGAUUGUGAUGUUGCUUCUGUCAAAAAGUGGUACAGCAAGGAUCAGAACAUAUUUCCUGUGCCGUGGCAGACCACCUUUAACAAGCCCCUGGACAGUUUGGCAGUGGAGGCUACACGUCCAACCCAAAACAGUUAGGAGCACAAUAUGUAUCCAAUUUAACAAUGUUUUUUUUCUGUUUCUUUGAAAAAUGUUGUCUUUAGUUGUCUUACUAAAAUAAAUAAGCAAAUGUUUUAUUGGUACUUUUUUGUCAGCUGUCUUAUUUUGAGAACAAUUAUGAAUAUAUGAUAUAAUGAA